rnacentral:rRNA from 1 species
UACGUAGGGCGCAAGCGUUGUCCGGAAUUAUUGGGCGUAAAGAGCUCGUAGGCGGCUUGUCACGUCGGGUGUGAAAGCCCGGGGCUUAACCCCGGGUCUGCAUUCGAUACGGGCUAGCUAGAGUGUGGUAGGGGAGAUCGGAAUUCCUGGUGUAGCGGUGAAAUGCGCAGAUAUCAGGAGGAACACCGGUGGUCGAAGGCGGAUCUCUGGGCCUACUGACUCGUGAGGAGCGAAAGCGUGGGGAGCGAACAGG